rnacentral:rRNA from 1 species
GUCCACGCCCUAAACGAUGAUAACUCGAUGUUGGCGAUAUACAGUCAGCGUCCAAGCGAAGCGUUAAGUUAUCCACCUGGGAGUACGCCCGCAAGGGUGAACUCAAAGGAAUUGACGGGGCCCGCACAAGCGGAGGAGCAUGUGGUUUAAUUCGAUGAUACGCGAGGAACCUUACCCGGGCUUGAAAGUUAGUGAAUCAUUUAGAGAUAGAUGAGUCCGCAAGGACACGAAACUAGGUGCUGCAUGGCUGUCGU